UGGGAGAGUGUCCUGACCGUAGGGUGCGGUAGUUGGGAGAGUGUCCUGACCGUAGGGAGUGGUAGCUGGAAGAGUGUCCUGACCGUAGGGAGUGGUAGCUGGGAGAGUGUCCUGACCGUAGGGAGCGGUAGCUGGUAGCUGGGAGAGUGUCCUGACCGUAGGGAGCGGUAGCUGGUAGCUGGGAGAGUGUCCUGACCGUAGGAAGCGGUAGCUGGUAGCUGGGAGAGUGUCCUGACCAUAGGGAGCGGUAGCUGGUAGCUGGGAGAGUGUCCUGACCGUAGGGAGCGGUAGCUGGGAGAGUGUCCUGACCGUAGGAAGCGGUAGCUGGUAGCUGGGAGAGUGUCCUGACCGUAGGGAGCGGUAGCUGGUAGCUGGGAGAGUGUCCUGACCGUAGGGAGCGGUAGCUGGGAGAGUGUCCUGACCGUAGGGAGCGGUAGCUGGGAGAGUGUCCUGACUGAAGGGAGCGGUAGCU
ensembl:lncRNA